rnacentral:rRNA from 1 species
GUCUACGGUCAUGCCACUCUGAACAAGCCCAAUGUCUGAUCUCGGAAGAUAAGCAGGUUACGGCCUGGUUAGUACUUGGAUGGGAGAACACCUAGGAAGACCAAGUGCUGUAAGCA